rnacentral:rRNA from 1 species
UACGUAGGUGGCAAGCGUUGUCCGGAUUUAUUGGGUUUAAAGGGUGCGUAGGUGGUCUAUUAAGUCAGUGCUGAAAUAUCCCGGCUUAACCGGGAGGGUGGCAUUGAUACUGAUGGACUUGAGUAAAGUUGAGGUAGGCGGAAUUGACGGUGUAGCGGUGAAAUGCAUAGAUAUCGUCAAGAACACCGAUAGCGAAGGCAGCUUACCAAGCUGUAACUGACACUGAGGCACGAAAGUGUGGGGAUCAAACAGG